GAUGUGUUGAGCAAAGACUCCUGUGACCCAAACGCUGGCAGCCAGUUGACAUUUGACCCUGAGCAGCCUCCCACCCCUCUGAGGCCCACCACACCCAAGCCUCAGAGCCCUCAGAGCCCCGGGGCAGGAAGUGCCAACUGUCACAGCGAUCACAGCGCCCUGUCCGUGAAUUCAGAGGAAAGUGAAGGAAGGACAGAAGAGCCUGCUCAGAGAGAGCCAGGGCCUGUGUCCUUGCAGGAUCCCCUGGAAGCCACACAUGGUGAUGAGGGCAGCAAGGACCUUCUGGUGAACAUUGGUGUGGCAGCCGGCCCAGAAGAAAAGGAGAAGGAGGAGGUCGUCCCUGAUGGCCCCUGGAGGCGAGGCACAUCACAAGAUGAGGAAAGAACAGAGGCACAGAGAACCCCCAAGAGGAGAUGGGGCUCUGGGAGACGGCCAAGGCCUCGGCCAUUCUCUGACUACGGCCAGCUGGCCAGCCGCAGUUUGUCUAUUCCUGAAGAUUCAGUUGCUACAGACCCCCAGA
rnacentral:sRNA from 1 species